AAUGGGCGAAAGCCUGACGCAGCGACGCCGCGUGUGCGAUGAAGGCCCUUGGGUCGUAAAGCACUGUCGGAGAGGAACGAACGUUGGCGGACGAUAAAUCCGUCGACCUGACGGUACCUCUCGAGGAAGCACCGGCCAACUCUGUGCCAGCAGCCGCGGUAAUACAGAGGGUGCAAACGUUGCUCGGAAUUAUUGGGCGUAAAGCGCGUGUAGGCGGCCCGUUAAGUCGACUGUGAAAUCCCUUGGCUCAACCAAGGAAGUGCAGUCGAAACUGGCGGGCUAGAGUCCCGAAGAGGGUGGUGGAAUGCUCAGUGUAGAGGUGAAAUUCGCAGAUAUUGGGUAGAACACCGGUGGCGAAGGCGGCCGCCUGGGAGGGUACUGACGCUGAGACGCGAAAGCGUGGGGAUCAAA
rnacentral:rRNA from 1 species